UCUGAUUGGUCAUUUGCAGGGGGCGGGGCUGUAGAGAGGCGUAGAAAGGUGAGAAGGUUGGGAAGAGUAGGAGGUAGUUGGGAGCUGUUGGAACUGGCAGGGGUUCCCGGUGGCCGGUGAACAGGAUUCUGGAAGCUGUGACGAAAUGUUUGAAAAGACUUGAGGAAUACCUGCUGCAUUCUCCUCGCUGUAUUCCAGCAUUAAGAAAGCCUGGGUAAGAGGCACUGCUAAGUAUUUGACCUGUCAGACUGUACCUGCCACCUGAGAAUUUCUGACUAAUGACUCUGUGGACAAGAAGACCUCGGUGUUGAGUGCACUUAGCCUGGAAUUCUCACAGAGGCACUGAAGGAGUGUUAUCUUCCCCAAUGUCAUCCGUCCUAGCUGAAGUCUGGAGCUGGAUUUCUGCCCCCAUCUACUAAAUCCUUAACAUCUCCCUUUUCCAACCUGGCCUCUUUUAAUACAAACUACUUUCUUAAAGCAAAAUGGGCCUUUUGUGUGUUCUUCCUAAGGUUAUCUACAAAAUUAAAAUAGUUGUUUAUUCCCUAGUUACUAAACUAAUGCAUAUUCCAUUGUUAAAUUUCAGAAAAUAGAAGAACAAAGAAAAGUAACCCUUACCGUGCAACCAAGUAUAACCACUACUUACUUUUUGGUACACAAUAUUUCUUCCCUUGGACAUACCGUGCACACAGAUUGUCUCUGCGCUUUCAGCCACAGCCACUGGCACCUUUAAUCCUUCCUGCUGUGGGCAAACCUAUUUCAUCCAAUGUAUGAAACCUUUUGCGAUUUUUUCCCUCUGUAUUCUUACAGCAUUCAUGUUGUAUGAUAAUUACCUAUUCGUAUGUCUUUUGGACCAAGUUCCUAGAAGCAAGCUAAAGUUCUAGAACUAUUAGAAUAAAGCAAGAGAUAGAAGAGACCAGAAUGUCAGAUGCACAAGUGGUUUCACAGACCAGUUUGUGAACUGGGGUUCAUCUAUGGUGAAGUUUCUGCAGAUCAGCGGAGGAAUGAGAAAAGGAUAUAUAUAGUGAGUUUUCAUUUAGUCAAAUUUAUUCAUAAGGAUUGUGCUUUAUUUUGAAAUUGUCUCUUCUAUUUCUUGCAUGUGAUGACAGUUAUAGAGCCGUAGUUGUUUUCUAAAUAUUCUUCCUUGGAAAAUAAAAUAUUGCUAACUUUAUUUCCUACCAUUUAGUUUAUUUUAUUUUUGAAAUUUUUCUUGGUUCAUGAAGUCCUAAAAUCUAGUAAUCACUGAGAUAGAGAAUGGCCACCAGUUUCAGCAGUCAUAAUGCUGGCGUGACCCUAAUCUGCUUUCUUUACUUGCUAUAGGUAUUUUCUGUAUUCUUUCUGGAUAUGACUUAGUCUAAGUCUGAGGAUGGAUCUGAGCUUGAUGGUGUUUAGAAAAUAGGAACUGGUUGUAACUGGCAGAUAGUACUAGGGCCAAAAGUAAGAUAUUAGUCAUUCUUUAUGAAGUUUAUGUAGAUAAAAUGAAAUUUCUGUUUGUCACUGUAUUAUAUGAAUAUAUGUAGAUGGAAUUUUGCCAUCCAUGUAGGCUGUUUGUGUUAGACUGACAACAGACUAGUUGUUGUCAGUGUGACAAAAUAAUAAGAGAAUUCACUUUGAGGGAUCCUGAGAGGUGGGCACUGUUAACCCUUUGGCAUGUAUUUCCAUCUCUCUCUGUAAAUAUGUCAUGGUGGUCUUAAAAUAUGCUACAACUUCUUUGAUGUCUUUCCCAUAAAAAGAUAUACCUUGUGAUGGACUUAAAUGAUUGAUUUAUACAAUAGACUAUAGUGAAAGUCAUCAUAAUCCCUAUAUGUGAUGUCAGAGGCUAGGUCACAAAAGGCCAUGCAACUCCAUCUUGUCUGUUGAAACGCUUACUUUUGGAACUCACAGCCAUCGUGUAAGAAGUCUGACUACCUGAGUCUGGCGUGGUGUGAAAAGUCCAGAACAUUAGGGAGACCUCUUGAAGUACUCUCAUUAACAAUCACAGCUGAUCCCACCCCAUCCAGUUAGCCCAGGUACCAGUUACGUGAGUGGGGUAGCAGAUUCCAGCUCUCAGCCGUUUGAGCCUCCUUCAGCCCGGUCUUGCCAGCUGAGGCCGUAGACUUGUGGACCAGAAGUGUGCCAUUCCUAUUCUAUCUUGUCCUAAUUCCUGACUUGGAGAAUCCAUGGCUUUAAAAGAAUUGGAAAACAAGACACCGACUGGGAGAAAUAUUUGCAAAAAAUACAUCUGAUAAAGGAUUAUUACCCAAAAUGUAUAAAGAGCUUCUAAAACUCAACAAGAAAAUAAAAACUCAUUUAAAAAAUGGGCCAGACACCUUAACAGACCUCACCAAAGAAGAUAAUACAGAUGUCAAAUAAGUAUAUGCAAAGAAGUUCUACAUUAUAUCAUCAUGAAAAUGCAAAGUAAAACAAAAUGACUUACCACUACACACGUAUUUAGAAUGGCCAGAAUCCAGAACACUGACAACACCAAAAGCUGGUAAAGAUGUGGAGUGAAAGGAUUCUCAUACAUUGUUAAUGGGAAUGCAGAAUGAUACAGCCACUUUGGAAGAUAGUUUGUAAGUUUCUUAUAAAAUGAAACAUACUCUUUCCAUGUGAUCCAGAUAUUGCACUUGUUAUUAUUUACCUAAGGGAGCCGAAACCUUAUGUCCACACAGAAACCUGCGCAUUGAACGUUAUAGCACGUUUACUCAUAAUUGCUAAACUUAAGGAGCGACCAACAUGUCCUUCGGUAGAUAAAUGGAUUAGUAAACAGUGGUACAUUCAGACAAUGGAAUAUUAUUUAGCACUAAAAAGAAUUGAGCCAUCAAGCUAUAAAAAGACUUAGAGGAAACUUAAAUGCAUACUACUGGGUGAAAGAAGCCAAACUGAAAAGGCUACACACUAUGAUUCUAACUAUGUGCCAUUCUGGAAAAGAUAAAACUAUAGAGACAGUAAAAAAUGUCAGUGACUGCCAGAUGGGGACAAGGAAGAGAUGACUAGGCAGAAUACAGAGGAUUUUUAGAGCAAUGAAAAUAUUCUGUAUAUUAUAAUGAUGAAUAUAGGUCACUGUGCUUUUGUCCAAAUUCAUAGAGUGUACAACACCAGUAAUGAACCCUAAGGUAAACAGUGGACUUUGGGUGAUUUUGAUGUGUCGAUACAGAUUCAUCCUUGGUAAAAAAAAGUGCCCUGCUGGUAAACAAUACUGAUAAUGGGAGAGGCUGUGCAUGUGGGGGGACAGUGGUUAUAUACGAAUUCUCUGUGCCUUUUGCUCAAUUUUGUUGUAAAUCUGAAACUGCUCUGAGAAAACAAUAAAAUCUUAAAAAGAAUCCUUAAGCAUUAUGAAAA